rnacentral:tRNA from 3 species
GGGCGGUUAACUCAGCGGUAGAGUAUCUGCCUUACAAGCAGAGAGUCAUUGGUUCAAAUCCAAUACCGCCCA